UGAGGAAUAUUGCGCAAUGGGCGAAAGCCUGACGCAGCGACGCCGCGUGGAGGAUGAAGGUCUUCGGAUCGUAAACUCCUGUCAAAUGGGAAGAAAGACUCAUGUAUAAGAUAUGUGGGGGAUGACGGUACCAUUAAAGGAAGCACCGGCUAACUUCGUGCCAGCAGCCGCGGUAAUACGAGGGGUGCAAGCGUUAUUCGGAAUUACUGGGCGUAAAGGGUGUGUAGGUGGCAUAUUAAGUCUGUUGUUAAAUCUCUUGGCUCAACCGGGAAAUCGCAAUGGAAACUAGUAGGCUAGAGGGUGAGAGAGAGGAGUGGAAUUCUCGGAGUAGCGGUAAAAUGCGUAGAUAUCGAGAGGAACACCGAUGGCGAAGGCAGCUCCUUGGCUCACUGCUGACACUGAAACACGAAAGCGUGGGGAGCAAACAG
rnacentral:rRNA from 1 species